rnacentral:snoRNA from 1 species
GCUAUAGAUGAUCAAGAUUUGAUCUCACACAUUAUUAGUGGCUUAAAUCCUACAUAUAAUCCUUUUGUUACAUCCUUUAGUUUUGCUUCACGGGAAAAAGAUUUUCCCUUUGAUGAUUUUCAAGC